UGCACAUGUUACGUUGUCUGAGAUUAUCGAGGCUCACGUAAGAGUCAUCAAUGCCACGUGUCAUGACAAUUUACAUCACACGAAUGAUUGUUCUACUUAUACGCUUAAAAUAGGAUAUUACAGAUGCAUUGCAGAUGAUAAAUUAAUCCCUGGUAAUCGUUUCGAAUAUGACUUUGGAAUGAAAUAUCAAUUCAAUACAAGUGCUAAAUUUAUAUUUACUCAAGGAUUAGGAAAGACUGGUUUUGAUUAUAUAAUGGUGGUGGUGAUGAACAACAAUGUCAAAGGUUUCACGCCCGUCACGACGUGUGAGUCAACGAAAGAUAAAUCACGAGAUGAAAAUAGAGACUCAACUAUAAUCCAUACCAAAUCAUAUUUCAGUGAAUCAUCGUC